rnacentral:rRNA from 1 species
UAAAAACCCCGACUUCGGAAGGGGUGUAUUUAUUAGAUACAAAACCAAUGCCCUUCGGGGCUCUUUGGUGAUUCAUGAUAACUAUACGAAUCGCACGGCCUUGCGCCGGCGAUGGUUCAUUCAAAUUUCUUCCCUAUCAACUUUCGAUGUUUGGGUAUUGGCCAAACAUGGUUGCAACGGGUAACGGAGGGUUAGGGCUCGACCCCGGAGAAGGAGCCUGAGAAACGGCUACUACAUCCAAGGAAGGCAGCAGGCGCGCAAAUUACCCAAUCCCGACUCGGGGAGGUAGUGACAAUAAAUACUGAUACAGGGCCCUUUCGGGCCUUGUAAUUGGAUGAGUACAAUUUAAAUCCCUUAACGAGGAACAAUUGGAGGGCAAGUCUGGUGCCAGCAGCCGCGGUAAUUCCAGCUCCAAUAGCGUAUAUUAAAGUUGUUGUGGUUAAAAAGCUCGUAAUUGAACCUUGGGCCUGGCUGGGCGGUCCGCCUCACCGCGUGCACUGGUCCGGCCGGGCCUUUCCCUCUGUGGAACCCCAUACCCUUCACUGGGCGUGGCGGGGAAACAGGACAUUUACUUUG